GGACAAGCUUGCUCUAAGCUCCGAGAAAGCUGACAGACAGCUGCUUGGUGUUCAGAGCUUUUCUGUCC
ensembl:miRNA